UUCUUUCUUCAAAUUUACAGGUUUUCCAAUAUCGCUUUGACGGGUCAGUUGAUUUCUACAGAAACUUUACGGAAUAUGAGACAGGGUUCGGAAAUUUGGAAACAGAGUUUUGGCUAGGUCUUAAAAGUGUCCAGGAAAUGACAUCUCAAGGUAAAACUGAAUUAAGACUGGAUCUAACGGCGGCUGAUGGCACAACUGCUUAUGAAACUUUCCAGAACUUCUACCUUGAUAAAGCCCCAAAGUAUACACUCCACAUUGAUCCUGGAACGGGUACAGCAGGUGAUAACGAGGGGUUGUCAUAUAAUAAUGGUGACCAUUUUUCAACUUACGACGCUGACCGUGAUGGUACAUCUUCUCACAACUGCGCUGUCCUUUGCCAUGGUGGAUGGUGGUAUUACAAUUGCGCCUACGCCAAUCUGAAUGGAGAAUAUGUAACACCAGGAACAGUGCGAGCCUUUAAAGAAGGCGGAAUGACCUAUAGGUCGUUUAAAUAUUUUAAUUCGCUUAAAGCCGUUAAAAUGAUGUUCCGGCGAGUUUGAAAUCCAGGUGGCUGAAAUUUUAUUCAGGAAGCAGUUUUCAUUUCAAAGUAUUUCAGGAAGUUAACACGUGAUUAUUCAUGACGCAUACUCAAUGCAAAUGAAACCGUAUCUGUUUAGUAUGUUUCAGUUUGGAAGAAAAUAUUCUGGUAUCGAUACUCUUAAUUCCAUGUUUAUGAAACCUCCAAAUAACAUCUAUUUAUAAUUUUUCUUCUGUCAUUCACUUUUUAAGUGUUGUACAAACCUUGUGUUGUAAUGAUAUAAAGUAUAUAUUAUAUCUACGUUCAAUUUUUACAUGUACAGAUUACUUUUCACAUUAUAUUUUUUUAUUUUAUUUUAGAAGUAUCUAACACGCUUAUUAUUCAUUGAUAGUACUACCUACUAAUUUCUUCUUCCUAUAGACAAUAGUUCGUUAUUUAUAACUGAAAAUGAUUAUAUCUGCAGAAAGCAUGCAUUAGCCGGCAGCGUUUUCAUGAUCACUUUUUAUAUUUAUGGGAAAAUACUGAACAAUUUAUGUUACUUUCAUAGAUAUUGUUUCAUGACUACAUUAUCAUUACUAGCAUUAGAUUCUAGACUUGUGCUUUAUCUAAUGAUAAAAUUAAUGUAAAAUCCUAUUUAUAUGGCAUACUUAGUAAACUGAAAGGCAAGUUUAAAAAAAGUCUUUUUUUAUAGACAUGACAUUUUUGGAGAAGAUUAUUUUAGGAUUCAAGUACUUAACAACAGAACGUUGUUAUUGGUAUAUGUCAAUAUCUUUAAUAUCCAUAACCAGGGCAUACUUCCAAACAUUUGUAUUUAAUAUUUUAAACGAAGAAUUUUAUUUCUCUAACAUUGACGAUACCAUAGUAAAAUGCACAGAUAGAAGUUCCAAAUUAUACUUUCUUUAUCCACACUUUGUUUUGUUUUAUAUUGUUAUGUUUGUCAGAUUCUAAGAAAUUUCAUUCAAAAGUCUUAUACAAUUUAGGACCAAACAUGUUGAUUUUUGUUAUAAAACACACGUGCAUUCGAGCUAAUUUCAGCUCCUGUUAAACAUAAUAUAUCUUUAAAUGCCGUGUUAACGGCGAUUGUCUCUAGUUAAGAAAAAUGAGUAAGUAAACAUUAUAAAACUGUUUGUCUAAAAUAGGAAUUGAUAUUUAAUAAACUGGUAGAGGAUGUAAAUAUUGUUGUUUCUUACGUUUAUUUGUUUGAGCUUUUAUUUUUUUAUUUUCGGGCCCUUAACAGUCAACGAAAGCCUUCUCUGCCUGCUGCAAGACAAAAGCAUAUAACAAAUUUUAGUGAGUCAAAAACUAACAACCAUAGUUAUUUUACCACCAAAAUGGAGUUACCAAUAGAGAUAGAUGUCUUACUGUGCAGAUAUCUUGUUGAGACUUGUAGGUACAGAUUUUGAUGGAUUAGUUAAAAUCCUGGCUUGGAUCUAGUAACCGGACAACUUUUCAUAUUUUUCUUUCGUUUUUAUUUUCUUAGAAAAUAUUUGACACAAGUGAACUCACACCGCAAGACCUCAGUUCCUACUUCAUCCGAAAAUGUAACUAGCACCACUUGGAAUAAAAAAUAGUAACAUGAGCUAAACCAGUAUCCGGACAAAUAUUUUACCUGUGAACUGCUGUUAUUUUGAGAUCGCAAUAAGUGGUAAUUUAGAUAUUUUAUUCAUCUCUUUAUCAUUUCCAACAAUACACAUUUAAAAUAACCUGACUUUAAAAAGCAGCUACGGUACCAAAGCAAGUGAAGCCUGCUCUGAAUAACUUGAAUUUUGUAUUAAACAAAUUCUUGAUAAUUCAAAUUCAAUGUAAUUGAUACCAUGAAAUUAAAAUAACCUUUAUCUAUACAAAUGGAAUAUACAGUUGAAUUCUUUUUUCUUUUUUCUUCCCCGCUAGUUGCCUCAACAAGUAAAAAUAUUGAACAAACACAAUGAUAUUCCCAUGCCCCAUUGAUGCAGAUUUUUGUAAACAUAGGCGAGGUUUCGUCGUAAAAUUUAACAUACAUACACGUUUUUUGAAGGUUUAGUCGUACAAUUUAACGUACAUACAAGUGUUGUGAAGGUUUCGUCGUAAAAUCUAACGUAAAUACAAGUUUUGUGAAACAUAAUCACGAAGAACAAACAUCCGAUUCCGAAUGAUUCGGACUGAAUUGAUAGCGAAAAUAACACCUAAGCAAUCUGUUAUUAUAUGUGCUGGAAACUAGACCUGUCCGAAUACUGGAUCCCAAUCGGUACAUUAGGUAGCAGAUGCCAGUUUCUUUUACUUUUCGCAAGCUGGCCGGAGACCGUCUUCCUUCGGUUCAGCAGAUUUCAACUAAACACAGAUAUUUGAAAGAAACAUUAUCAUGUAUUUGUAUGCUUUCUUAAAAUCCAUUAACAAUAUUUGCCAUUUAUAAGACUCUGUAGUCCAUACAUAGCCUGGAAAUCCAGUCUGACAAUUUCUAACUUUUUUCUACCUGCAAAUUGACUGCCUGGGAAAACCUAUUUUCCGACCUCAGCGCCACCUGUAUUACACCCGAAAUAUACGGGUGUAUGAUAAAGAGCGAUAACUUCUGAAAGCAAUUAUCCAUUGCUAAAAAUAAUAAACGGAGAUCUAACGGAAAGACAAAUCCGGAAUCGUGUACUUACGAAGGGUUCCGAACAUUUCCGGGCCAUAGAAAAAUGCAGUGUUAACAAGCUUUUCCUUUGGUUUGAGUUGUGACCUUGUUUUUGACCCACAUGACCCAGUUUGUUUCGAACAUGGCCAUGGAAAUAUCAAGAUAAUCAUUCUUACUAAGUUCCAUGAAGAUAGAAUAAUAAAUAUGGCCUCUAGAAUGUUAACAAGCUUUCCCUUUGCUUUCGGCGGGUGACCUAGUUUUUUACCCCACAUGACUCAGUUUCAAACCUGGCCUAGAAAUCAUCUAUUCUGACCAAGUUUCAUGAAAAUAGGGUCAUAAAUCCUCAAAAGUGUUAACAAACUUUGCAUUUAAUUUGACCGGGUGACCUAGUUUUUGAUUCCAUCUGGCCCAGAUUUAAACCUGAUCAUCAAGAUAAACAUUCAAGAUUCAUGAAGAUAGGAUCAUAAAUGUGGAUUCUAGGGCGUUAACAACUUUUCCUUUGAUUGACCUGGUGACAUAGUUUUUGACUCCACAUAACCCAGUUUCUAGCUUGUCGUAGAAAUCAUCAAGAUAAACGAUAAGGGUUUUUACAUUUAGUUUCCUGUUUAUAUAGAUAUCUCUUAGAUUCAGUUUUUGCCAUUAUGAAAAGUGCGGAGCGUGGGGUCUAUUUCAUGUUUCAUACAUUGUUGUUUCGCUGUUUUCGUCUAUUUUACACAUUUUUAUUUACUUUGUUUAUCUCUUUAUCUAUUUUGUUCCAUUUAUUCUAGGCAUAUACAUGUACAUCCUUUUAUUUAUCUAUUUGAUAUUUUGUCCAAUCUUCAUCUCAGUUGUUGCCAUCAUGUAUAAUUCUUAUAGAAUACAGAAAACAAUAGUC